GGCUUUGUAGUGAAUUUCAUAUUGAGUUGCAAGCUCAAAGAUAUGCGUUAAGUGCGCAUCAGAGCCU
rnacentral:tRNA from 1 species